UCCUACGGGAGGCAGCAGUAGGGAAUCUUCCGCAAUGGGCGAAAGCCUGACGGAGCGACGCCGCGUGAGCGAAGAAGGCCUUCGGGUCGUAAAGCUCUGUUGUGAGGGAAGAAGAAGUGCCGUUCGAAUAGGGCGGUACGGUGACGGUACCUCACGAGAAAGCCCCGGCUAACUACGUGCCAGCAGCCGCGGUAAUAA
rnacentral:rRNA from 1 species